rnacentral:rRNA from 1 species
UGGGGAAUCUUGCGCAAUGGGGGCAACCCUGACGCAGCAACGCCGCGUGAGCGAUGAAGGUCUUCGGAUCGUAAAGCUCUGUCGGCAGGAACGAUGGGUGGCUUGGCUAAUAUCCAAGUCGCUUGACGGUACCUGCAAAGGAAGCACCGGCUAACUCUGUGCCAGCAGCCGCGGUAAUACGUAGGGACCAAGCGUUGUUCGGAUUUACUGGGCGUAAAGGGCGCGUAGGCGGCAAUUCAAGUCAUCUGUGAAAUCUCCGGGCUUAACUCGGAACGGUCAGAUGAUACUGCUUUGCUAGAGUGCAGAAGGGGCAAUCGGAAUUCUUGGUGUAGCGGUGAAAUGCGUAGAUAUCAAGAGGAACACCUGAGGUGAAGACGGGUUGCUGGGCUGACACUGACGCUGAGGCGCGAAAGCCAGGGGAGCAAACGGGAUUAGAUACCCACGUAGUCCCUGAGCGGGCUGGCAAGGCGCAU